CCUUCUCAUUUCUCAGCCACAGAAGGUUCAUAUCCUCUCUUUCAUUCUGGAUCUGCAGCUCUGAAGAACCUUAGUUAUCUUUGGAAAAUCACAACUCAAGUCUCACGAUUUAAUUCCAAUCAACUCUCACGAUUUGUUUCUCUAUCAGAUUUAAUUGUUUUUUCUCUCUCCAGAUUUAAUUGAUGUGUGUUUUUUUUUACAAACCCCAACAACAUCUUUUUUGCUGCUUCUCUGUCUGGACAUGAGUUUCAAUUCCAGUUUGAAGUUGGGUUCCACUUCGUUGUCUUUCUGUCGAUUCCAAAUCGGAAGAUUUGAGUUUUAAUUGAGUGAUUCAUAGAAGUCCCGCAGCUUGAUUAAUCGAGGUGGGAGGUGACGGUGUUGCUAUUGAUUGAGUUAUAGGAGAAAAAAGAAAUUAGGGUUUUUGUCUUGGGAGGAAAAAAUCAAGAGUAGAUGUAGAAUCAGUUGAGAACCCUGGUGAUUUAUGUUGGUGGUUCUAAAUCUAGUGUCGAUUCAAACUCAGGAGGUUGAAGAAAACGUAAAUUAGGGGUUUCUGUUUGAUGAUUAAUUCAUGUAAAUUUCAAUUGAUAAGCUGAAUUUUAGUGAUGGUUUUUAUUUAAGCAUGAGGAAGGAUAUUUGCAUGUAAUUUGAUUUUUAUUUUACAGAAAUUAGGGUUCUUGGUAGUAUUUGAAUUGGGUGCAGAAAUCGGAGAUGAGUAUUGAGUUAAUUAGACGAAUUAGGUUGAGAUUAUAGGUGACAUAAAGUCUCAGGUGGUGAAUUGUUAUCUUAGUUAUAUUUGAUUUACUCUUGAAAAUUUCUGAACGAUACAGAGGCAGGGGAGAUGAAUCUGAUUCUUGGAUUGAUAGUAAUUGAUAUGGACUGAAUUGGAGAGUGUAUUUCAAGUAGGCAUGGGUACUGUGAGAUGUUGAGGUUGCUAUGACUGUAUUGUGAUGAUUAUUGCUUUAUGUAUGUUAUUUAUUGUGAUGAACCGUCUUUAUUGAUGUAACCGAGCAGGUAGGAAAAGAAUAGCUGCUGCGGAUAGAGUUUGCAGAGGAGGGAAGAAAGCUUCCUCCUAAAGGAAGUUCACAAGUCUGUGAUUUAAAUGUUAUCACCCCUGGAACUGAAUUUAUGCAUGUUUUGUCAGUUACACUGCAGUACCACAUUCAUCUCAGACUAAAAAAUGAUCCCGGGUGGAGAUCAGUUAAGGUUAUCCUUUCUGAUGCUAAUGUUCCCGGUGAAGGGGAACACAAAAUUAUGUCUUAUGUUCGUCUGCAAAGAAACCAUCCUGGUUUGGACCCAAAUACCCGUCACUGCCUCUAUGGUUUAGAUGUUAGAUGAAAAGCAGGUACACUUCUGUAACAGCGAAGAAGCCAUACCAGUUCGUAAACAUCUGGACACUUCAAGAGUACUUGGAUUACGAGAUGAAAAUUCCUAAUCUACCAUUUGAGAUUGACCUUGAACGUCUUGUGGACAACUUCAUUUUUAUAUGUUUCUUUGUUGGAAAUGAUCUUCUGCCUCAUAUGCCCACGCUGGAAAUUCGAGAGGGUGCCAUCAACUUUCUGAUUGCUGUCUAUAAGAAAGAGUUUUGGGAAAUGAAGGGGUAUAUAACCAACUCUAGCAAGCUUGAUUUGAGAAAGGUUGAACACUUCAUUCAGGCAGUGGGGUCUUUUGAGGAUGUAUUUUCACCAAAAGAGCUAGACUUCAUCAGUUUUUUACUUUUUUCUGAACUCUUGAGAUUAUUCGAAUGCUGGUCUCUGAAAUUCAGGCAUUGGCAUUUUGAUGUGCCAGAUAGAAAAUAACUUAGGUUCAACUUGUAAUUAAUAAACUGAAGAACAACCUACACCUUAAUUUUCAGUAUAUGCUUAUCAUAUUGAGUUCAAAUGGAUAUUAAUCUUCAGUAUAUAAUCUCUUUUGAGGUAAUAUGAUGUUCGUGAUGUUGUUAUGGGAUUAUGAUGUUGCUGGCCUUUCUCUGUUUCAGUACGUCUAUUAACAACAAAAGAUGACGAUAGAUUCAGAUACACUCACAACAGCAGUAGUUUCUGAAUGUUCAUGAUCAACAACUACUCUGAAACGAAGGUAUUUUGGUUCAAGUCAAAAAGCAGUACUCUGAUGAUAUUUUAGCAGCAGCUGAAUCUAUGUAUAAUUUGCUGAGGAAAUUGGUUAAGCAAGCCGAGUCUUGUGAUACUUCUGGUGGUAUUUUAGUCUUUCUUUCCCUAUUUUUCAAUGCCUCUGUCAGUUGACACAAACUAGGUUACUCAUCCGUUUAUGAACAUCUACAUAGGUCGGAUAUUGUAUGUCAGUCACAAAAUUUUAGGUUUAAUAAGUUUAGGCCUAUUUUGCGUUUCCUCCCUUGCCAAGAUUCCUAAUUAGCGUUUCCUCCCCAAAAAGAUUGAAAAUAGUGUUGCCUCCCCUCGUUAGCUUUUCCAUCCACUGCUCGGUUAGCUGAGUCAGCACAUGUUCACGAGUGGCAAAAACUGUACGUGUGUCCCAUGUGUUACCAAAAAUACCUCCUCCUUUUUCAAGUGAUUAAACCCAAAUCUUUUUCUGAAACUAGUACUGUGAAAUUUGACAGAUGCCAUCGGCAACAAACGCAAUCCCAGUUCAUCGGCUUUUCACCUCACUAGCGCCUUUCUGCCAUUCUCAGUAUCAUAUUCUAUCAUUCUCCAUCUCAGAAACACCAUCAGUUUCUUGUCUCUGAAUCCAUCUAAAACCCCAUCUCAGUUACCAAUCUCAAAUUAUUAUCAAACCCUAACUUUUCUGCUACCCAUCACUGAUAACCAUUCAAUUACGAUAACCCAUUCAUCCUUGGACCAUGAAUCUUCAAUCGAGGCACAGUAAAACCUAGAUCUAACAGUCAACAUCCGGUGAAUUAUAGAUUAGCCCGUUCUUCCAUCUUCUCGAGCUCCUUAUUUCCUCUGAAUUUAAUGGAUUUCACUUCUCCAUCUUCUGUAUUCUUCACUCGAGCAUCAGCAGAAGCAAUUUAAGCGAUACAAACCCUUAAUUCUCUACGCAACCAUCUCCCUCUGCGUCUCUGUGUUAUUUCAGGUGCAAUUUUAGCAACAAACCAAUCUCGACAUCAUCUCAAUCUCGGAGAACCAAAUUUGAACUGAAACAUCUCAAUCUCGGUUGCAUCUCAAUCUUGGCAGCAUUUCAAUAUCAACACCUGAUUUUAGUUGAACUGAAACAUCACAAUUUCUUACUACUUCCCUCAAUCGAAAUUCAAUUUCAUUAAUUAGUAAAAAUAAAAAACCCAAAUUUUUAAGGUUUCUCGGAAAUUUAAUUUCAAAGACAUAUUCUUCUGAAAUUUCAAUGUGUUUGUUUCUUGGAAAUAAUAUGUACUGAAUCAUUGAAUUGGUUGUAAGAAAUUGAUUAUAGAAAGAGGGGAUCUCAUCUGUUCAAUUGGAAGAAACUGGAAUGAUGAUUCCAUGACAUCGAUGGGGGUUUAUUUGGUGUUACACGAUAGAUGAAGAAGAUGAUUGAAUGAAUUAGAAGAUGGGUAUGUUGGGGUUAUCUCAAUGGGUUUGCGGAUGGAGAAACGACUUUGAGAUCAUGAAGGUUCUUGUGUUUACCACAGAUGGUUGGGUUUGAAGUGAGUAAUGGGGUUUAUGACUGAAACUGGUAGCAAAUUGGUUUUGUGUGGAUACUAUACAAUGAUGUGUAUGCUCGAAAAAGGGAGUUGUGGUUUUGAUUGUUUCUCAUAUUGAAAAUUGAGAUGCUGCCGAGUGAAACUGAUGAUGAAUUAUGAAAAUCAGGAAAAGAAAACAGUGAGGAUGUUGUUGCUGUGAUACGAUCUAGUCUAGGGUUUUUUGGGAAGGACGGAAAACGUGUGUACAUUUUUUUGAUAUGUGUGCACAUGUGUUGACUCAGCUAACCGAACAGUGGAUGGAAAAGCUAACGAGGGGAGGAAACACUAAUUUCAAUCUUUUUGGGGAGAAACGCUAAUUAGCUAUCUUGGCAGGGAAGGAAACACAAAAUAGCCCAUAAGUUUACUUGUAUACAUUUAUAUCAAUUUAAAAAUCCUUUCUUUUAUAA